rnacentral:tRNA from 1 species
GCAUUCUUAGCUCAGUUGGAUAGAGCAACAACCUUCUAAGUUGAAGGUCGCAGGUUCAACUCCUGUAGAAUGCG